UAUGUUGCUUCCCUGCUCUUUCCUGCUAAA
rnacentral:piRNA from 1 species